AGCAUUUGCGCAGGCUCUUCGGCCGGCCAGCAGGGCAGUCACUGACAGCUAAAGGGCAGGAAGCGCUCCAGUCCGCGAGCAGACCCGAACUACGCCUGAAACUCGCGACUGUUUAUGACAAGCCUGCAAAAAAAAAAAAAAAAAAAAAAAAGCCGCCUAAACGCGAGGGAAUUGCUGGGGUUACUAGCCUCUCCAACAAUUGCGGUUUUUCUCAUCACUGACCCUGUGGACGAAGCGAACAGGAGCCAUGGUGGCAGGCUACAGGAGAAGAUGGAGGCCCCGGCUCCAAUGAAUAAGUAAAAGGAACACGAUGUCCCUUUGCGAGGCUGGCACUGCCGCCGGCGCCGGGCACAGUUACAGCGCUGCCAAACAAGUCCGACCCGGUACCAGCGGACGGCCUUCCUCCACGGCCUGGAGAGUGAGAGAGUGCACACUGAGCUGCUGAAGAUAUAUGGAGCAUUCACCUCUCCAAAUAUGACUAAAUGUAGUUUUCAGAGAAAAGUGUAGUCUAUAGUAGCUAGAUGACCUCAGUGCAAAUAUCCAUCUGACUGGUAAUAACACUCACUGUUCAGUAUUGUGCACAGGCUAACAUCUCCUACUGACCAAUUUCCUAAUAGUGGCUAAACCUUUAUUCUGAUGGACUUUAUUAACCAUCUUUGCAAGGUCUAUAAAACCUGCACAGAGAACAAUGGAAGUUGGACAAAAAAGCAAACUUUUUCUCUAAGUUUUAGCCUAAUUAUGCCAUAUGAAAAACUAAUGUCUAUGUAAUCUAAGAUUUAUGUGGAUUUUUUUAAUGCUGUGCACAAGACAUUUUAAUGUGUUUUUAAUUUUAAACCAGACUAAUUGAAUUAAAAGUGCCUUAUCAAAUAGGCUAAAUUGUUUAAAUGUGGAACGGUGCCAUAUU